CCCUGCCUACCUGAGGUCUUCCGAAGAUUUGUGUAUUGAUCACUGUGGGCAAGUGCACAGCCGAAGUUAUUAAGAUGUUGGGAUCUGCGGUGAAGCCCAGCCACAGAACAGAGAGCCUGCAGCAGUCUUGCGAGAGGGAUGCUGGCAUCAUUUCCACCCUAGCGUUGUUAGAUCACUUGGCAGCUUUUCAUUUCGGUGAAGACAGCUUCCUUUUAACUCACCUUUUGUACUCGUUGGCUUUUCCUGUAAGCACCUGCUCAGUUAUGCGUUGGACUAGAUGAUCUUAGUGGUCUACUCGAGCCGUAAUAAUUCUGUAAUUCUGUGUUCUAGGUCUACUGGAUUUUGGACUUAUGCGUGUAUAUCUAGUAUAGGUACGUCUGACUGUAAAACUAUCUCAGUAAAAAGUAAAAGGAACAUGUAGACUCCAGGCACUGAGCUGAUGCUGGUAUGUUUUUCCAGUGCAUUAGGGGAACAGUAUGUGCCACUGUCCUGACUUCUCACUAUUGGGUCUGGCAUGUCAGAGAGGGGUGUCUGUUUUCCUUUUGCUCCAUUUUAUGGCUGGAGGUCACCUGCUCCAUCAGGAUUCUGGCUGUGUAGCCUCCACUUAUUGCUUUGCGUUAGGAUUUUUUUGCCUUCUCACUUACCAGCUGCUGUCUACCUACUGUGCUGCUGCUUUUCAUUGAGGUGACCCCCUUUCCCCCCCACCCCCAGCAAUGCUUUGCGAGUCAGUGUGGAUUUAUAUCAGUGUGAUUAAAGUGGGCUCAUAAUAACAUCAGGAGAGAAGUGGUGACCAAACCGUUUGGCUUGCAGCAUAGGGUGGCUGUGCUGUGGGGAAUGCAUCCUGGCCUUCAGGGAGGAUUUCCAUCAACAGUGGGACUACAGAGGGCAGAGUGGCUUGCACAAUGUAAUCAUUUUAAUUGGAAUUAACGGGGGAAAUAACUUCCUCUUACAUUAGGGAUAAGGUGGAUGCAGUGUCAGAGUGUUUUUUGAAUGAGCUCCACUGAAGGCAUAGGUACAGCAGUACGUAGUCAGCCUGCUUUAAUGAGAUUUGACUGUAAUUCUACAAUGAAAUUAUUUUUCAGUUAAAGUAGAUCACAAAAAAUGUAUUUUGCUCUAUUAAGGCAUAUAUGAGACUCAAAAAGCUCAUUCACAUUAUUUGUGAAGUAAAAACUAACAGAAAUGAUGUCAUUUUGAGAUAUUUCCAUUCACCAAAUGGAUGCUGGAGAACAAAUGCCACUUGUAAUGCAUCUUCCACAUAGACCAGGAUGUGAUAAUUCAUGGAUUGUUUUUCCAAAUAGUUAUUGAACUUAGAAAAAAAGUGAUGCAGAUUUGCAGAACAUUGAGAUUAUUAGACUCAGAAAGCAAUCUUCAGCUGAGAUACUAUGAGCUGUUUCAGCAAAGCUUGAAGGUGGUGAAUAAUAGUGACCACAUAGGUGAGCAGAAGGAGUUGUGCUGGAUCUGGAAGACUCCAGCAGUGCAGUAGGCAGCUGGAACAGUGCAUGGGAAGAACAGGGCAGCUUUAGGGGACUGGAGUUAUAGAAACAUCGAUUGCACAAAAAGUUGUUCUAUUAAGUGGAUGUUAGAGA